rnacentral:misc_RNA from 1 species
GAUGAAGAACGUAGCGAAAUGCGAUAAGUAGUGUGAAUUGCAGAAUUCAGUGAAUCAUCGAGUCUUUGAACGCACAUUGCGCCCCCUGGUAUUCCGGGGGGCAUGCCUGUCCGAGCGUCAUUGCUGCCCUCAAGCACGGCUUGUGUGUUGGGCCUCCGUCCUCCUCCCGGGGGACGGGCCCGAAAGGCAGCGGCGGCACCGCGUCCGGUCCUCGAGCGUAUGGGGCUUCGUCACCCGCUCUUGUAGGCCCGGCCGGCGCUUGCCGACACAUCAAUCUUGUUUCCAGGUUGACCUCGGAUCAGGUAGGGAUACCCGCUGAACUUAAGCAUAUCAAUAAGCGGAGGA